UGUAUAUAGAGUGCUUAAGUUUCUUCUACCAAGCAGAGCUGAAGUUAGCAUUAAAAGAGGGGGAAAACCAUGGUUUUAAUCUUUGUGUUCCUAAGAUUUCUAACUGUUCUUUAACUGACCUGUGAAGUAAAUGGAACUCUUGGGCUUCGUGUUAUGGCUUCAGCUGAUGUCAGCCCUGUCUGUUGUUGUCGUGUGGUCAUAGGAGAUGGCUCAGCUAAUACUGAGAGCAAAGCAUACCUGAUGCUAAGAAGUUAAGGAUGCCAAGAAUGGGAUCUGUAUUUGCCACUAUAUUGGCAAGGAAUUGUAAUAAUGAACAAAAUAGAAUUAAAAAGGUACUAUUCCUAGUAAUCUCCUUGUGAGUUGACAUCUUAACACAGGCUUCCCUUUCCUCUUUCCCUCCUUAGCACCCUUCUGUGAGCAAAAUAAAGCUUAUUUGAUACUCUUUUAAGUAAAUAGACUAUGGGUUGUAAGUACUUGGUCAAUAUGUACAGGUGGAUCAAAAAGUGUUUGCUUUAACUUAAUAAUUAAAGACUCAUUUAUUUUUGAUAACUUUAACUCUGGACUGGAGCAAAAAGCAAGAACUGUUUGCAUUACACCUGGGACAUAAAAUUAAUUUGUGCUUUGCUGUCAUGGAAGAAAUUGAGUUAUAUGAGAAUAUAUUUUCUGUCUUUUUAAAUUUCUUUUCCCUGCUCCAAACUGUGUGUUUUGUGUUCAUUCUGUUUUGUCUAUUUGAAAUCCUGCCUGAUUUUUAGUUUUCCUUUAACUGAUACUGGUACAGAAAGGAAGCGUACAAGAUAAGUAACCAAUGAAGCUUUGUCUGGUGGAGUUAGAGAUAAGCAAGUUUAUUAAUUCUGGCUAGCUGCUCCAAGUUGUACAUGUGAAUUUCACGCGCUUUCUUGUCUAUAUGAUAGUAAAAUCUGAGGGUUAUGGGACUACUCUGCUACAGUGUGUUACAUAUUUCACUUUGAUACAGGCAGGGAUGUCUCUAACUGUUUAGUAUGUAAGUUUAACUGACAGUGUGAAAUGCCUCGAAUCCAUAGAUCAGUUGUGGUUUCUAGUAUUGUGACUGUAUUCUUCAGUUUUUCCUCUGGACUGCUUAAUCACUUUAUACUGCUGGUCAACCUGAAAAUACCCCUGCAAAUUAAACUUAUUGUAAAGUUUCUUCUUGUAUAGUAAAGAAUAAAAACCAGGUUUUGGACAAAGGUGGAUGAAGAGCGCUGAUGUACUGACAGUGUUCAGUGCAGUUGCAGUUGGUUCUGCUUUGUGUGGUGUCUUGCAGCUGUGGCUUGAGUUUCUGAAGUUCAGACCGUGUCCUGUUAGCAAAAUAAGAUCUUGGUGUUACAUAUUACCUUAGGUUCUGUGUCUGGGCAGCACAGCCCUGCAGUUCCAUGGCACUGCAGAAGGUUUGGUGCAGCCAGAGAUAUCGCUGUGCAAGUAAACAAGAUGUCCUCAUGAAUGACCCCUUCAUCUUGGAUCAGAAUUAGUGUGGUGAGGGGUUUGCUUACAGAGUUCUUAGGUGCUACUCUCAUGUCACCUACGUGACAGAGGUGACUCCAGCACUGCACACACAGUGUGACAUGCUCUGUCACACUUUUGUGUGUUGUGUGCAUGGGCAUUACUCAGUGGUUGUGGCUUGCGUAAGAAGUCUCCACGCUCUCUAGCUACUAUCCUUAACUGACCUAGUUUUCCUACUGUUUGCACAGCAGCGCUGGAAGGAAAUGGAGUACAGACAAGGCUCUGGGAGGCUGAGAGAGCCUUGAGUGUUAUGCAUAUCAGCUCACCACUAAAUCAAGAGCCUCUAAAAUUCAAGUCUCAUCAGUGAGGAAAAUAAUAAUUUAUGAAUUACACAGAAGUGUGAAGAUCUAUUGCCGUAUUCCAAACAGUAGUGUAGAUGUUUCUGGGAGUCUGCCAAACUGGCGUUACUCAAAGAGAUGGUUUCCCUGUAGUGCUCCUGUCUCAUGUUGCCUGUUAGUUCAGUUUUGGCCAGUAGCUCAAUGUAAUGCUGCACUCCCACAGCAGUCAGCAGCCUCAGUGGUGUUGUCUUUGUAGUAAUUGCGAUGUCUUUGAAAAGCUCAGUUAAGUUUAAUUAGUAAAUCUGAAGUUGAGAAACUGAGAAUGUAAAAAUCUUACUUAAAGAUGUGGAGCUUAAUGCAGAAGGGAGACAAAUGAGAACACUUGGGAUAUCUCCUUCAGAUUGAAGCUAUCUGGAGAGGGCAUUUUUUGAGGGUUUUGACAUAAGUCUUGGGUCUAGACAGGGUGCUGUUGUUCGUUACAAAAUUUUCCUUGGAAACUUGGAGUUGUCUUGAGAAAAAUCGGAGUCCAAAUGUGACAUCAGGAAGGAAUUCUAGCAUGUCUUCCUAUGUGCAGAGAGUUGCCUGUGAAGUGGUUCUUCUAUGGAACAGAGUAAGAUGGUUUCAGGAGGUGAGACCGUAAGGUUUGUUGGUAAAGAUGCCUUUUCUGGAAAGGGACAUGUAUGCAGGAGCACUGUUCUUAUUCACAGGGUUAAAAGCAUGAAGAGUCAUGUACUGAAUCAGAGAGAUCUCAAACUUGGUACACAGAAUGUGCAGCUGGAUGAAAGUAAGAGUUAAGGCAGGAAACAGAAAGAUCAAUUUGCACUGGAAGUAGCAUCUACCUCCUUUGGCUGUUCAUGGGAUUGGAGGCUCCAAGUGCCAGUGUCUCUUCAAAGAGAAAAGACUUAGGGAUCCUUAGCUCUGAACUCCUUAAAGGAGCGAGGGAAAACAAUCCCACAGUUGAGGAAGAGCUGUUAAGUCUUGCCAUUUCAGAUGCUCAGGAACUGAAAUAUACGUAUUGGGAGAUGAAGGGAAUAACACAAAAAGCAUAGUUGUCUUUUGGUACAUAUUUGAGCUGUUCUAUAUGUGAGACACCACAUGGAAAAGUUUGCCUGUCAGCAGUACUAUUUCUAGACAAUUCCAACAGUUGACAAGUCCAGGGUGAGAGAGAGAUUCAGCCAUAAAUUAUGUAUCUUGGAGCUGAAGGUGUUUGUUGUGGUGUAGAAGAUGAAUUAGCCUCAUCCUUUAUAGCCUUUGCAUCUGCAGGACUCGCUCUUUUUGGAGGGAGGUUGUUUGUGCUCUUGAACUUUAAUUGCUGCAAUGCUGGGUUCCUUUCUCUGUUGCAUGUGAUGUGCACACUUGUGCUGCUUCUGCCAUGUAGAACAGCUCUGCUGUGUCUGCUUGUGGGUGUUCUUACUGGCUAAUUCCUAGCCUUAUUUUCCUGCCCUCUGAUUCUUGAAGCAUGGAGUUAAACAGCUGACAAUAAUCCUGUUUGGCAGAGCAUUGAUCAUUUUGUGUUCAUAAUUUCUCAUAUUCUAUCAAGUGUUUCUUCCCUGCCAUGACUGCCAUUCCCUAUGUGUGUGUUAUAUAUGAACUGCCUGGUGGUUAAAUCUGCAGUACAGUUUGAGUGCUCUGAAUGAUCUCUCGAUGCAGUUCCCUAAAUACAGUUCAGAAAAGCAUUUCUGUGGUUAAAGGUAGUGUUUGAAUAGCAGGACAUUUUUUUAUUUGCAUAUUUAGCCAGCAAAUAGCUGAGUGGUUCUUCUGUGUAUUCACUUGCAGUCUUCUAAAGAUGCCCUAGAAGAUUAGAAGUGUUGAGACUUGAUGAAUCAAGUAUUAAAAACAGUCUGUUUUGGGGAAACUUGUGCAAUGCUCAGUAUGAAGAGGCAAUUUCCCAGUAGGCAGCAGAGUUAGCGGGAGGCCCCUCUAAACACAAACAUUAUGUGUUCCUUUUUAAAAUAAAAAAGGAGCAAAGAGCUUUGCACCUUUUUGCAGCACCUUAUGCUGCUCUAGAGGGAAGCGUUCUAGACUUGAAACAGUAAGAUAGGUAACGAUUUCUGUGUUCUGAUGGUAGUAUAUGCUGUCAUUUUCUAAGGCACUUUGUGAAUAGGUUGUGUUUAUACAAAGUGGACUAGAAACUAAUUGAUAGCUCAGGACUCAAAGAUCUUAUUUAUUUAUUUUAGAUAUUUGCUUGUAUUUGUUGCUACAGUCGAUCUGAACAGAGUAGCUUGCACAGCCCUGAAGGUCCAGUCCAGAGUACUUGUGUCAGGUUGCCGAAGGCUUGAAUUCAAGUAAAUAUCUAAGUGCUGAUACGCAGUGACUGUGUAUACACAAGGAUUUGCUGUGGAAUAUUUACAUGGACGUUGAAAUAUUUACUUGGAUGUUGAAGCUAUUUUGAAAUGCUGGGAAACCUCUGAGCAUUACCUGUCUUCAUUAUGGAGCUGUCGGCAUCUCAAGUAAAUGAUGGGUUGUGGUCUCUUGAUGUGCCAUGUUUUCUGGCUGAAUGCAGGUCACUCUGUCCUAUUUUCCUGUCUGAACAAACAGAGAAUAUUAAUUAAUGUUUUAAUAUUUUGAAAUGGGUCUUGUCUUGUAAUGUGUAGUAUUUCUAAAUCUUUAUAAGAAGUUGUAACUUCAGAGCAACUUGCAAAUUCCGUCUCUUCUGAAUGCUUCUAGACUUGUUAUGGAUGAGGAAUGUCAACUAUCUCACCAAAAUUGUACAACCGAAGUGUAAGGUUGGAAGGAAACACUAUUCAAACCUUAAUUUCAACUACAGUUUCUAAUUAGUUUUUGCCAAUUACUUGUUUUGUUUAAAUGGCUUCUUUAUUUUUAAUUCAGUACAGCAUGGUGACUCUGUCACACAGCGAAAUGCUCAGCAUUAACAUGUCUGUUUAAUUUAUGGGUGAUUAAGCACUUUGCAAUCAGUGUAACAAUGAUAAAGACAAAUGUCUUCUGGCGUGUGUAGCAGAGGAACUGCAUUUGGGUUAUAAGUCUGCUGGCAGAGCAUAAAGAGAUAUUAAUGGACCGGAUCUGUAGGAGAGUAGUCAAAUAUCACAAUGUUUCUAUUGCAAUGUAAUGUGCACGUUUACAGAUAAGUGAGAUAUUAAUAAAAUCUGCUUCUGUUACAUGGGGAGGUGGCAGAGAGGAAGAGAGAACACCAGCAAUACCUGUAUGCUCCCCUGAAAUGGAGUUAACUCUGUGAGAAAAAUGCUAUUUUUAAUUCCAUAGCUGGAACCUGUGGAAAAAGAACUCAAUUUUUCAUCCAGAUAAAGAAAUGUGGAUAAUACGGGUGAGACCAGGCAGCAAAUUAAAUCAAGCAUAGCAGAGCGUUAUGGCAGCAGAACAUUAAGUCUGAGAAAUGCACGUUAAGCUCUCCAGCAGCUGAGAGACAGGUCAGGCCUGGCUUUGAUCUGGGGGGUUCAGGUUGGCAUCAGUCUUGAUCUUGAGGAGAGUUGUAUGUUCUUGGGGAGAGUCCAGAUGAGAUGAACAGCAGUCAUUGUUUAAGGGGAUUGGUAUUUGAGGGAAGAUGGAGGUAUUAAUUUUUUGGCAACUGUGUUGGUGCACUUUGUAAUUUUUAAAUGAUUCAUUUGGCUCUGUUCUUAAUGCCUUCAAUUUUAGAUGCCUUUUUUUUUUUGUUCAGUUGAUCUGUUUUGUGGUCUUUGACAGCUGCUUCUUAAAGCUUCUUUCCUCGAAUUCUUUCCUAAGAUUCUUGCAAAACCACUUGUGUAUAUACGUAUUUUUUUAAGACUUUUCACCUCUUUAAGGCUACAUAUUGUUACAGAGCUGUGGGGAUUUAAUGUCAUGAGUAGAAAUACGGAAAGUCAUGAUGAGCGUAUAACCAUGUAUAAAAUACUUUUCUCUGUGAGUCAUUUGGAUAAGGCUGUUAAUGGGAUUUCUAACUCCUUAAUGGCACACUUAUUCAAUAAAGGUUGAAUAAAUAUACA